GCCGAGACUGUGUGUUAGUGGGAGGGGGGCGUCUGAUGGAUGGAGGGGACGUCCUUUGGGAUUUGAUUGGAAUGCAGUUGGGUCUCCAAGGAGGGGGACGCGGAGGCCCCGCGCGCAGGUGCCUAGAGGUGAAGCGCACAGAUGAGGACCCUGAAAACUGCCCGGGGCUGCAGUCCGCGCUCCACCCUGCGUGGAUGUGCACUCACCCACGCCAGGAUCCCGAAACUGGCAGAUUUGGGGGAGACACCCUGUUGGUCGCGUCGCUGUAAUAAAGUAUUGGGGGAAAGCAUGUCGCUGACAAAGGCCUCUUCAACUUUAAAAUGUGACCUGACCUGUAAGAAGAGGCGUGUCCUCUGAUCCAGUGGAAAGACUCUUUGAUUUCCUUGCCACCGGCCCUCUUCAGCACUACCUGGGCGCUCUGAACCCCUCCUUUCACACAAUGAAAGAAACUCCAGUCAUUACCCCUCUGCUUAUUAUGUUAUUGUAUGAUUUUGUAAAAUUUACUGGAAACAACGCACAAGAGUUUUCAUAGUUGCUGUAUUUUCUUAAAGACAAACUAAAAAGGCUGGAGAAAGA